rfam:Vitis vinifera, whole genome shotgun sequence of line PN40024, unoriented chromosome 19, chr19
ACCAGUGAUGAUACAAUCCAAUUAAUUGAGACGUGGUGGAGCCAAGACCCUGUUUACAGGGAGAACCUACUUGGUGAAGCCACAUAUCAUAUGACAUCAAUGGAUUCAACUGAGGU